rnacentral:rRNA from 1 species
UACGUAGGGUGCGAGCGUUAAUCGGAAUUACUGGGCGUAAAGCGUGCGCAGGCGGUUCGUUGUGUCGGUGGUGAAAGCCCCGGGCUCAACCUGGGAAUGGCAAUGGAUACUGGCGAGCUAGAGUGUGUCAGAGGAUGGUGGAAUUCCCGGUGUAGCGGUGAAAUGCGUAGAGAUCGGGAGGAACAUCAGUGGCGAAGGCGGCCAUCUGGGACAACACUGACGCUGAGGCACGAAAGCGUGGGGAGCAAACAGG